UUUUGUCCAAAGAAGGUCCUGGCCUUUAAAAGGAAGAUGGUAGAAGAUGGUUGUAGGAACUAUACAAGGAAUGUAGCCUCAAAUACCUCCUCUUUUUUCCUCCCUGAGCUCUGGAAUGUUGUUAUUCUAGUUAGAGCCUUAGCAACCAUUUUGGAUCCUGAGGCAAUAUGCUUGGGCAUGUAGAACAGAAAUAGAAAAGAAACUUCAGUCUCUGAUGAUCAUGGAACAGCUUUUUCAGCCUGUCAGCAGUCAAUGAGUAUUUACCUAUUUAACUCUUCUCAGUUAUUUUGGAAUUCUCGCUUACUCUUGGUUAAAACCAAUCCCAAUAGUUGUGAAGACUGAACAUAUGUGAAGCAACAGGCAUGUGGAGGUGAAGAGAGAAAUACAGCAAAGAAAGGGUGGAGAGGAGAAGAGAAGAACAGAAAAGGUGAUGAGAAAGAGAAGUCUUUGAUUAGCCUCAGGACUCAGAAUCUGAGAAGCUGAGAAGAAUCAUUAGGUUUUCAUUUGACUUGGACUGAAGAAAGAACCUAAUUGUACUUUUUUUGCAAGAUUUUAAAUAAAUAACAUCUGCUGUCUUAGCC